rnacentral:rRNA from 1 species
UGCUCCAUGAGAUUAACUUAAAUAGCCGCAGUACCUUGACUGUGCAAAGGUAGCAUAAUCAAUUGUCUUCUAAUUGGAGUCUAGUAUGAAUGAAUGGAUGGGGGGUUACUGUCUCCGUUUGAUUUUUAGAAAUUUUUUAGGAAGUGCAAAUCCUUCCAUAAAGCUAUAAGACGAGAAGACCCUAGAAAUUUGUAGUUAGAUUUUGUUGGGGCGACAAAGUAACAUUUGAACUUACUUAAUAGUUGGAAAUAUAUAUAUAGUACAAUAAAAUUACUCUAGGGAUAACAGCAUAAUUUAUUAAAGUUUGUGACCUCGAUGUUGGACUAGGGAAGAUUUUGAUUAGAAGUUGAAAGGCUAAGUUCUGUUCGAACUGUAAUUCCUAC